rnacentral:rRNA from 1 species
GACGAACGCUGGCGGCGUGCUUAACACAUGCAAGUCGAACGGAAAGGCCCCUUUGGGGGUACUCGAGUGGCGAACGGGUGAGUAACACGUGAGUAACCUGCCCUUGACUUCGGGAUAACUUCAGGAAACUUGGGCUAAUACCGGAUAGGAAUCCUUGCUGCAUGGUGGGGGUUGGAAAGCUUCGGCGGUUUUGGAUGGACUCGCGGCUUAUCAGCUUGUUGGUGGGGUAGUGGCUUACCAAGGCUUUGACGGGUAGCCGGCCUGAGAGGGGGACCGGCCACAUUGGGACUGAGAUACGGCCCAGACUCCUACGGGAGGCAGCAGUGGGGAAUAUUGCACAAUGGGCGGAAGCCUGAUGCAGCAACGCCGCGUGCGGGAGGACGGCCUUCGGGUUGUAAACCGCUUUCAGCAGGGGCGAAGCUUGUGGUGACGGUACCUUCAGAAGAAGCACCGGCUAACUACGUG